UCUCUCUCUCUCUCUCCCUCAAUCGAUACCACCAGCCGCGGCCGCCUCCACCUCUCUCUCCCUCCUCUACCUCAAUCGGUACCACCAGCCGCGACCGCCUCCACCUCUCUCUCCCUCAUUCCCUACCACCACGCUGUGCAGCCUCAGAUUACAGGUAAGACCCCUACCACCACGCUGUGCAGCCUCGGAUUGAGCCUUACAGGGGCCAAGGAGCAGCAAUAGCUCUUCAUCAAAUCCGGAAUCCAAAACUAAAGACAAGUGUGCUGUAAUGUAAAGAAAGCAUUUGUAUAUGAUGUAUUUCCCUCCCAGUUUUGGCCAAUUUGUUGUAAUACAUGAUAAGAACAUCACCUAAGCAAUCAUCAUUUGUGUGAA